AGUCACUUGGCCGGCCAUCGAAUUUGUUUCUCAUUGAUUAAACCGCUUCGCCGUGAAUCUAUUCCCUCUAUCAGUGGCUUCUUUUUCUUCUUUCUAAGUCUUCAGUCCAGUGAUCUCCUCACUUAGCUCGUUGUUCUUCAUCCUGCAUAAUUGUCUCUUCCAUAAUCAUGGAGGCACCGUUUCCCGCCAUUUUUCUUCUCUUAGUCUUGACGUUCUGUUCCUUCGCAUCAACGGCUCUGUCUUCCACCAUAGGAGUUGACUCCAUCUCCCGCCUUCUUGAAAUUCAAGAAAGGGAGAGGGCUCCGCCUUCCGUCCAGGAAGCCGCUGCUCGUGGCGUUCUUCAGCGGUUGCUUCCUUCUCAUUUAUCCAGCUUCGACUUCCGAAUUGUCUCCAAGGAGCAAUGUGGUGGCGGAUAUUGUUUCAUGAUCAGAAACCAUCCUUCAUUCAGAAGACCCGGGGAUCCUGAAAUUCUACUUGCUGGGACGACUGGAGUGGAGGCCGUCGCCGGUCUUCACUGGUAUUUGAAGCAUUGGUGUGGUUCACAAAUAUCUUGGGACAAAACUGGUGGUUCACAAUUAUUUUCUGUACCAAAAGCAGGAUUGCUUCCACGUGUUCAUGAUACUGGAAUUUCAGUUAAGAGGCCUAUUCCUUGGAGCUAUUACCAAAAUGCCGUUACGUCUAGCUAUUCUUGUGCUUGGUGGGACUGGAAAAGAUGGGAAAAGGAAAUUGAUUGGAUGGCCCUGCAGGGUGUAAAUUUACCACUUUCAUUCACAGGACAAGAGGCUAUCUGGCAGAAAGUAUUCCAGGAGAAAUUCAACAUGAGCAGUUCAGAUUUGGAUGAUUUCUUUGGUGGUCCAGCAUUUCUUUCUUGGUCACGUAUGGCAAAUUUGCAUGGAUGGGGUGGACCACUGCCUCAGAGCUGGUUGGAUCAGCAGUUAAUCCUACAGAAGAAAAUUCUUGCCAGAAUGUAUGAACUUGGAAUGACACCAGUCCUACCAGCCUUCUCAGGAAAUGUCCCUGCUGCGCUCAAAUAUACAUUCCCAUCAGCAAAAAUAACACGCUUGGGAAAUUGGUUUUCUGUUAAGAGUGACCCUAGAUGGUGCUGCACUUAUCUUCUUGAUGCAACCGAUCCUUUGUUUACUGAGAUUGGGAAAGUAUUUGUUGAGCGACAAUUACAAGAGUAUGGAACGACCAGCCACAUCUACAACUGUGAUACUUUCGAUGAAAAUACCCCACCCGUUGAUGAUCCAGAAUACAUCUCAUCAUUAGGUGCGGCAAUCUUUAAAGGAAUGGAGAGUGGUGAUAGUGAGGCUGUGUGGCUGAUGCAGGGAUGGCUAUUUUCAUAUGAUCCAUUCUGGAGGCCUCCACAAAUGAAGGCCCUUCUGCAUUCUGUUCCUGUUGGAAAGUUGGUGGUUCUUGACUUGUUUGCCGAAGUAAAACCCAUAUGGAUCACUUCAGAGCAAUUUUACGGUGUUCCCUACAUCUGGUGUAUGCUGCAUAACUUUGCAGGAAACAUUGAGAUGUAUGGCAUUUUAGAUGCAAUAGCAUCUGGGCCUGUUGAAGCACUCAAAAGUGUGAACUCAACUAUGGUUGGUGUUGGAAUGUCAAUGGAAGGCAUAGAACAGAAUCCCAUUGUCUAUGAUCUGAUGUCUGAAAUGGCAUUUCGGCAUGAGAAACUUGAUGUUAAGGCAUGGGUUGAUCGGUAUUCCACAAGACGAUAUGGUCGACCUAUUCCAUUAUUAAAAGAUGCAUGGAAUAUAUUGUAUCACACGAUUUACAAUUGCACAGAUGGUGCCUAUGAUAAAAACAGAGACAUCAUUGUAGCAUUCCCAGAUGUUGAUCCUUCCUUAAUUUCGGUACAGCGAGAAUGGUCUUACCACCAUGGCAACCCAGAAUCAAGAAUAGUCAUCAACGAAGUUACUGACUCAUAUGAUCGACCUCAUUUAUGGUAUUCAACUUCUGAAGUAAUUCGUUCACUGAAGCUUUUUAUCUCAAGUGGAGAUAAACUGUCAAGUAGUAGUACUUACUGGUACGACCUUGUUGACCUGACGAGACAAGCCUUGGCAAAAUAUGCAAAUCAGUUGUUCUUGAAGAUCAUAGAGGCCUAUCAAUUACAUGAUGUCCAUGGCGUGGCCUUCCACAGUCAGAAGUUUCUAGAUCUGGUGGAAGAUAUGGACACACUGUUGGCCUGUCACGAUGGAUUUCUUCUGGGACCUUGGUUAGAAAGUGCAAAGCUACUGGCACAAAACGAACAGCAGGAGAAACAGUUUGAGUGGAAUGCGCGAACACAAAUCACUAUGUGGUUUGACAACACUGAGGAAGAAGCCAGCCUUCUCCGUGACUAUGGAAACAAGUACUGGAGUGGGCUUCUACGUGAUUAUUAUGGUCCCAGAGCAGCUAUUUAUUUUAAAUAUUUGAUAGAAAGCUUAGAGAUAGGCGAGGAUUUCAAGCUUAAGGAAUGGAGGAGGGAAUGGAUAAAGCUUACCAACGACUGGCAAAACCGUAGCAAUAUAUUUUCAGUGAAAGGUACAGGAGAUGCUUUAAACACUUCAAAGUGGCUCUUCAACAAAUACUUGAGCAGUGCCGGGACGGAGCUUAUUGCCCCUUAUUGAAGGCAAGUCAACAAGCUAUCAUAUUUAUCUCCGUAUGGCCAUUAUAAAUUACAGGGAAAAAGAAUUCCUAAAAAGUCUCCAAUAUCUUCCUAAAGAUAUCAUCGCGAGAGGGAUAGAGAGCACAAUGAUAAGGAGGGCAACAUUCCAUAGGUUCAGCAAACUUCUGGGUUUUUUCUAUCGUGUUAGGAGGAGGCUCUAUUUAUUAACUAAGUGGUGCAAUGACAAAUGAAACUCAGAUUGUCAAGUAAAGUUGUAAAAGUAAUGAUUAAUUGUAUUGAAAUCAUUCUAAUAAUAACUCGUGUUAGUGCUUGUAUAAACUCAAACAAUGAUGAUUAUUGAAUCUUCAAGUCUUCUAAUAA